rnacentral:rRNA from 1 species
UCCUACGGGAGGCAGCAGUGAGGAAUAUUGGUCAAUGGACGCAAGUCUGAACCAGCCAUGCCGCGUGCAGGAAGACGGCUCUAUGAGUUGUAAACUGCUUUUGUACGAGGGUAAACUCACCUACGUGUAGGUGACUGAAAGUAUCGUACGAAUAAGGAUCGGCUAACUCCGUGCCAGCAGCCGCGGUAAUACGGAGGAUUCAAGCGUUAUCCGGAUUUAUUGGGUUUAAAGGGUGCGUAGGCGGUUUGAUAAGUUAGAGGUGAAAUCCCGGGGCUUAACUCCGGAACUGCCUCUAAUACUGUUAGACUAGAGAGUAGUUGCGGUAGGCGGAAUGUAUGGUGUAGCGGUGAAAUGCUUAGAGAUCAUACAGAACACCGAUUGCGAAGGCAGCUUACCAAACUAUAUCUGACGUUGAGGCACGAAAGCGUGGGGAGCAAACAGGAUUAGAUACCCUGGUAGUCCACGCAGUAAACGAUGAUAACUCGUUGUCGGCGAUACACAGUCGGUGACUAAGCGAAAGCGAUAAGUUAUCCACCUGGGGAGUACGUUCGCAAGAAUGAAACUCAAAGGAAUUGACGGGGGCCCGCACAAGCGGAGGAACAUGUGGUUUAAUUCGAUGAUACGCGAGGAACCUUACCCGGGCUUGAAAGUUAGCGACGAUUCUUGAAAGAGGAUUUCCCUUCGGGGCGCGAAACUAGGUGCUGCAUGGUUGUCGUCAGCUCGUGCCGUGAGGUGUCGGGUUAAGUCCCAUAACGAGCGCAACCCCUACCGUUAGUUGCCAUCAGGUCAAGCUGGGCACUCUGGCGGGACUGCCGGUGUAAGCCGAGAGGAAGGUGGGGAUGACGUCAAAUCAGCACGGCCCUUACGUCCGGGGCUACACACGUGUUACAAUGGGGGGUACAGAGGGCCGCUACCACGCGAGUGGAUGCCAAUCCCUAAAACCCCUCUCAGUUCGGACUGGAGUCUGCAACCCGACUCCACGAAGCUGGAUUCGCUAGUAAUCGCGCAUCAGCCAUGGCGCGGUGAAUACGUUCCCGGGCCUUGUACACACCGCCCGUCAAGCCAUGGGAGCCGGGGGUACCUGAAGUGCGUAACCGCGAGGAUCGCCCUAGGGUAAAACUGGUGACUGGGGCUAAGUCGUAACAAGGUAGCCGUACCGGAAGGUGCGGCUG